rnacentral:rRNA from 1 species
UACGUAGGGUGCGAGCGUUAUUCGGAAUUACUGGGCGUAAAGGGCGCGUAGGCGGCUCGCUAAGUCGGAUGUGAAAACUCUGGGCUCAACCCAGAGCCUGCAUUCGAAACUGACGAGCUCGAGUUCUGGAGGGGAAAGCGGAAUUCCUGGUGUAGCGGUGAAAUGCGUAGAUAUCAGGAGGAACACCGGUGGCGAAGGCGGCUUUCUGGACAGAAACUGACGCUGAUGCGCGAAAGCUAGGGGAGCAAACGGG